AACGCGAAGAACCUUACCAGGCCUUGACAUGCAGAGAACUUUCCAGAGAUGCUUUGGUGCCUUCGGGAACUCAGACACAGGUGCUGCAUGGCUGUCGUCAGCUCGUGUUGUGAAAUGUUGGGUUAAGUCCCGCAACGAGCGCAACCCUUAUCCUUUGUUGCCAGCGGUCCGGCCGGGAACUCAAAGGAGACUGCCGGUGAUAAACCGGAGGAAGGUGUGGAUGACGUCAAGUCCUCAUGGCCCUUACGAGUAGGGCUACACACGUGCUACAAUGGCGCAUACAAAGAGAAGCGACCUCGCGAGAGCAAGCGGACCUCACAAAGUGCGUCGUAGUCCGGAUCGGAGUCUGCAACUCGACCCCGUGAAGUCGGAAUCGCUAGUAGUCGUAGAUCAGCAACGCUGCGGUGAAUACGUUCCCGGGCCUUGUACACACCG
rnacentral:rRNA from 1 species